GUGUCAGCAGCCGCGGUAAUACGUAGGGGGCGAGCGUUACCCGGAAUUACUGGGCGUAAAGGGGGCGUAGGCGGCCCGGCAAGUCAAGUGUGAAAUCCGGCGGCUCAACCGCUGGGCUGCGCUUGAAACUGCCGGGCUUGAGUGCAGCAGAGGGAGACGGAAUUGCCGGUGUAGGGGUGAAAUCCGUAGAUAUCGGCAAGAACGCCGGUGGGGAAGCCGGUCUCCUGGGCUGUUACUGACGCUGAGGCCCGAAAGCUGGGGGAGCGAACCGGAUUAGAUACCCGGGUAGUCCCAGCCGUAAACGAUGCUCACUAGGUGUGGGGGAGAUAAAUCCUCCGUGCUGAAGCUAACGCGCUAAGUGAGCCGCCUGGGGAGUAUGCCCGCAAGGGUGAAACUCAAAUGAAUUGACGGGG
rnacentral:rRNA from 1 species